AUGUUUCAUUUCACUAUUUUCCCAGAUUCAUAUGCCAUUCACCAUAAUUAUCAUUCUUCAUUCGUUAUGAGAAAAUCACAGAAAAGCUCAAAAAUAAAAACAAACUUCUCUACAAUGCUUCAGCCAUGCAUACUUUCCACCUGCAUCAUGGUCAAAUAUCAAACUAGAAAUAUGCAUCUAAAUCUACAAAAAUUGAUUGAUAUCCAAACUAUAUAA